rnacentral:tRNA from 1 species
GGGCGCGUAGCUCAACUGGUAGAGCAGGCGACUUUUAAUCGUCGGGUUCGGGGUUCGAGUCCCUGCGCGCCCAC